CGUACACUCCUACGGGAGGCAGCAGUGGGGAAUAUUGGACAAUGGGCGCAAGCCUGAUCCAGCCAUGCCGCGUGAGUGAUGAAGGCCCUAGGGUUGUAAAGCUCUUUCACCGGUGAAGAUAAUGACGGUAACCGGAGAAGAAGCCCCGGCUAACUUCGUGCCAGCAGCCGCGGUAAUACGAAGGGGGCUAGCGUUGUUCGGAUUUACUGGGCGUAAAGCGCACGUAGGCGGACUAUUAAGUCAGGGGUGAAAUCCCGGGGCUCAACCCCGGAACUGCCUUUGAUACUGGUAGUCUUGAGUUCGAGAGAGGUGAGUGGAAUUCCGAGUGUAGAGGUGAAAUUCGUAGAUAUUCGGAGGAACACCAGUGGCGAAGGCGGCUCACUGGCUCGAUACUGACGCUGAGGUGCGAAAGCGUGGGGAGCAAACAGGAUUAGAUACCCCAGUAGUCCCA
rnacentral:rRNA from 1 species